rnacentral:rRNA from 1 species
CACGUAGGGGGCGAGCGUUGUCCGGAUUUAUUGGGCGUAAAGAGCUCGUAGGCGGCUUGUCGCGUCGUCUGUGAAAUCCCGCGGCUCAACUGCGGGUCUGCAGUCGAUACGGGCAGGCUAGAGUUCGGUAGGGGAGACUGGAAUUCCUGGUGUAGCGGUGAAGUGCGCAGAUAUCAGGAGGAACACCGGUGGCGAAGGCGGGUCUCUGGGCAUUAACUGACGCUGAGGAGCGAAAGCAUGGGGAGCGAACAGG